rnacentral:rRNA from 1 species
GACGAACGCUGGCGGCGUGCUUAACACAUGCAAGUCGAACGGAAAGGCCCUGCUUUUGUGGGGUGCUCGAGUGGCGAACGGGUGAGUAACACGUGAGUAACCUGCCCUUGACUUUGGGAUAACUUCAGGAAACUGGGGCUCAUACCGGAUAGUAGCUCCUGCUUCAUGGUGGGGGUUGGAAAGUUUCGGCGGUUGGGGAUGGACUCGCGGCUUAUCAGCUUGUUGGUGGGGUAGUGGCUUACCAAGGCUUUGACGGGUAGCCGGCCUGAGAGGGUGACCGGCCACAUUGGGACUGAGAGACGGCCCAGACUCCUACGGGAGGCAGCAGUGGGGAAUAUUGCACAAUGGGCGGAAGCCUGAUGCAGCAACGCCGCGUGCGGGAUGACGGCCUUCGGGUUGUAAACCGCUUUCGCCUGUGACGAAGCGUGAGUGACGGUAAUGGGUAAAGAAGCACCGGCUAACUACGUG